rnacentral:rRNA from 1 species
CCUACGGGUGGCUGCAGUGGGGAAUAUUGGACAAUGGGGGGAACCCUGAUCCAGCCAUGCCGCGUGUGUGAAGAAGGCCCUCGGGUUGUAAAGCACUUUCAGUGAGGAAGAACGCCUGGUGGUUAAUACCCAUCAGGAAAGACAUCACUCACAGAAGAAGCACCGGCUAACUCCGUGCCAGCAGCCGCGGUAAUACGGAGGGUGCGAGCGUUAAUCGGAAUUACUGGGCGUAAAGCGCGCGUAGGUGGCUUGAUAAGCCGGUUGUGAAAGCCCCGGGCUCAACCUGGGAACGGCAUCCGGAACUGUCAAGCUAGGGUGCAGGAGAGGAAGGGAGAAUUCCCGGUGUAGCGGUGAAAUGCGUAGAGAUCGGAAGGAAUACCAGUGGCGAAGGCGGCCUUCUGGACUGACACUGACACUGAGGUGCGAAAGCGUGGGUAGCAAACAGGAUUAGAUACCUGGUAGUC